rnacentral:rRNA from 1 species
AGUGAAACUUAAACGGCCGCGGUAUCCUAACCGUGCAAAGGUAGCGUAAUCACUUGUCUUAUAAAUAAAGACCCGUAUGAAUGGCUAAAUGAGUAUUUAACUGUCUCCUUUAACUAAUCAGUGAAACUGACCCCUCAGUACAAAAGCUGAGAUAAAAACAUAAGACGAGAAGACCCUGUGGAGCUUUAAAUUUUAACAAAAUAUUUAAACAUAUUUAUGACAGAAAAUUUUUAGUUGGGGCGACUUUGGAGCAAAACUUAACCUCCAAGAAAAGGUGCCACCUAAACUAGGCUAACCGGCCAAACAUCUAGACCCAGUAUUUAUACUGAUUAAUGAACCGAGUUACCCCAGGGAUAACAGCGCUAUCUUCUUCAAGAGUUCCCAUCGACAAGAAGGUUUACGACCUCGAUGUUGGAUCAGGACACCCAAAUGGUGCAGCCGCUAUUAAAGGUUCGUUUGUUCAACGAUUAAUGUCCUACGUGAUCUGA